UGGUGCGGUCCCCCAGGCAGCCCACAGACAGAACCAAGGCUAUGACCUUUAGCCUCUUCCCAUCAGCUUCGCUCUUCUCGCCGUCCUGUCAGAAGGAAGCAUCUGUUUUAUUAGCAGAAGUUGCAAUUAACGUCUUCAUUUUCAUAAGACAAAUGUAACUGCAUCUCGCAGCCCCAGGAUCCAACCUGUGACCCUCUCGCCCAGCGCUGACUACUCCCCUUAAACACAGAGGGAAAUUAGUUCCAUCCUAAUUAGGUGGCUUCCCUCUGCCGAAGUCAGCAUCACAGCUAUGGAGAGGGUUUGUGGAGACCAGUACAUGGGCUGUCAUGACAAGAACACUCAUUAGGAUCCCAUAAUCAGGACCACAGCAGUCAGUGUGUCCUAUCAGGCUUGGUGAGAAAAAAAAUUAUUCAUCUAAAUGUCCACCUGUAUCUGGUAAGUGGUCAGUUAGCCUCAAUCAAUCUGCUUCCUUGGGUUUAU